CCGUCACUCGUGUCCAUCUGCUGGGUCCGCAUCGUUUGCUGUGCCACUGCGCUCCCUUCGUGCCACCAUCGAUUGCAAUUACCACUCAGCGAAAUGAGCAGUUUAAAGCUUUCGGUCCGUCAUUUGCACGCUAGUGGCGGCACGGUCGGUCUGUGUGGCAUUGGAGUUAUUUGCGCAAAUAGCAAGGAAAAAUAGAAUCAUCGUACCCAUCCGUGCCAUCCCAUCCCAUCGUCAUCGCUCUCCCCUUCUCCGCUUGAAAGGAUUGCAAAAGGAUUUGGGGCUCUGUACAGGACGACACUGUCGGCGGACAGGCCGGUGCCUUGCUCGGCACCGGCGCACGGCCGACCAAUGCCCAGGACAGCAGCGCCGACCCGGCCAGGAUGCAAAAUCAGGCCGAACCAGGUGAUGGUCAGCAAAGGCCCUCGGAAAAGUGACAUUAGGCCGCAGUGGGGCGUGAAAUGAUGCAAAUGGGCUUGCUUUGCAUUAUUCGCAUCGUAACCCGAUUCGACAGCAUUAUUUUCCACACACACACUCAGAAGCAGCCACCGUUUUGCAGGUGUGGAAAAUUCUACGAUCGGGGAUGGAAUCUCGGGGAUGGGGUCCGGUCGUUGAACCACACACACGCGGCCUGGUCGAUUGCGGUUCUUUUCUGUGCAACGGGGAAGGGUUUUUCUAGCUAGGGGCUCAGAACUAAACACCAGUAACAACAGGAUCGAUCGAUGGUUCGGUAAUUUGUGUGAAUUACUUCCGGUGAUGAAUUGUUGUUCGGGACAGCGGAUGUGUUUUCGAACAGCUAGGAUGUGUUUUGAUUUAUUUUCAA